AUGUUCCUGCCAAAGAGCCCCUGACUAGCUACGCCCAGCAGCCGCGUUAAGGUCGGGGCGAGCGUUAUCCGGGAAUAUUGGGAGUAAAGUCUGGCAGGAGGUGUACCACGUCUUGCUGGGAAAUCCCGGGGUUUAACUCCCGGGUUUCCAGUUGAUACGAGUAGAAUAGAGGGCAGUAGGGGAGACGGGAAUUGGUGGGAGAGUGGAGAAAAUGCGCGUAUAUCAGGAAGACACGGAUGGGGAAGACAGGUCUGUGGACUGUUACUGACUUGAGGAGCGAGAGCAUGGGGAGCGAACGGGAUUAGAUGCCCUGGUAGUCCAUGCCGUAUACGUUGGGCACUAGGUGUGGGGAACAUUCCUGUUUUCCGCGCCGUAGCUAAAACAUUAAGUGCCCCGCAGGGGAGCACGGCGGCAAGGCUAUAACUCAAAGGAAUAAACGAGGACCCGCACAAGCGGCGGACCAUGCGGAAUAAUUCGAUACAACGCGAAGAACCUUAACAAGGCUUAACAUGUGCCGUAUUGCUGCAGAGAUGUAGUUUCCCUUUGGGGCUGGUUCACAGGUGGUGCAUGGUUGUGGUCAGCUCGUGUCGUGAGAUGUUGGGAUAAGUCCCGCAACGAGCACAACCCUUGUCAUAUGUUGCCAGCACGUAGUGGUGGGGACUCAUGGGAGACUGCCGGGCUCAACUCGGAGGAAGGUGGGGAUGGGGUCAAAUCAUCAUGCCCCUUAUGUCUUGGGCUUCACGCAUGCUACAAUGGCCGGUACAGUGGGUUGCGAUGCUGUGAGGCGGAGCUAAUCCCUAAAACCCGGUCUCAGUUCGGAUCGAAGUGUGCAACUCGACUUCGUGAAGUGGGAGUCUCUAUAAUCUCAGAUCACCACAGCUGCGGUAAUGCGUUCCCGGGCCUUUCCACACCGCCCGUCCACUCCCAAAGUCGGUAACACCCGACCUUAAGGGGCAACCCUAUUUGAAGAAACCGUUGAAAA
rnacentral:rRNA from 1 species